rnacentral:rRNA from 1 species
GAUGAACGCUAGCGGCAGGCUUAAUACAUGCAAGUCGUGGGGCAGCAUGAAGUAGCAAUACUUUGAUGGCGACCGGCAAACGGGUGCGGAACACGUACACAACCUUCCUUUUAGUGGGGAAUAGCUCAGAGAAAUUUGGAUUAAUACCCCGUAGCAUAGCGAUGUGGCAUCACAUUGCUAUUAUAGCUUCGGCGCUAGAUGAUGGGUGUGCGUAUGAUUAGAUAGUUGGCGAGGUAACGGCUCACCAAGUCUACGAUCAUUAGCUGAUGUGAGAGCGUGAUCAGGCACAAGGGCACUGAGACACGGGCACGACGCCUACGGGAGGCAGCAGUAAGGAAUAUUGGUAAAGGGACGAAAGUCUGAACCAGCCAUGCCGCGUGAAUGAUUAAGGUCCCCUGGAUUGUAAACUUCUUUUAUAUGGGACGAAAAAAGGUCUUUCUAGAUCACUUGACGGUACCAUAUGAAUAAGCACCGGCUAACUCCGUGCCAGCCGCCGCAGUAA